GACGAACGCUGGCGGCGUGCUUAACACAUGCAAGUCGAACGGAAAGGCCCUGCUUUUGUGGGGUGCUCGAGUGGCGAACGGGUGAGUAACACGUGAGUAACCUGCCCUUGACUUUGGGAUAACUUCAGAAAACUGGGGCUAAUACCGGAUAGGAGCUCCUGCUGCAUGGUGGGGGUUGGAAAGUUUCGGCGGUUGGGGAUGGACUCGCGGCUUAUCAGCUUGUUGGUGGGGUAGUGGCUUACCAAGGCUUUGACGGGUAGCCGGCCUGAGAGGGUGACCGGCCACAUUGGGACUGCGAUACGGCCCAGACGCCUACGGGAGGCAGCAGUGGGGAAUAUUGCACAAUGGGCGGAAGCCUGAUGCAGCAACGCCGCGUGCGGGAUGACGGCCUUCGGGUUGUAAACCGCUUUCGCCUGUGACGAAGCGUGAGUGACGGUAAUGGGUAAAGAAGCACCGGCUAACUACGUG
rnacentral:rRNA from 1 species